rnacentral:SRP_RNA from 1 species
GCCAGGCGUGGUGGUGCAUGCCUGUAAUCCCAGCUACUUGGGAGGCUGAGGCAGGAGAAUCGCUUGAAUCCAGGAAGCAGAGGUUGCAGUGAGCCCAGAUCGCACCACUGAACUCCAGCCUGGGUGACAGAGAGAGAUUCUGUCUCAC